rnacentral:lncRNA from 1 species
GCUGUGUUUGGAAUUAAUGGGUUCAGCUUCAUUCUGAGCACCGGGGAAGGCUAUUUUAGAAAGCAACUUCCCAGGCUGCGACUGGUCUUCACUGAUGUGGCAAACCCAACCUCUGAGCAGACGGUCUUCAAAUAGAACUGGCCCGGCGUCUGGAAGGCACAGCGGGGCCGCCCCUUUCAGGGCGCAACCCCUGGUGUCCCCCAGCCCUGGGUGACGUCCCGCCUCGCCCUGCCCCCAUCCUGGCUGGCUGGAGGUGUCCUCCAUCCACAGUAGCAGGAAGGCGGUGUGGGGGCGGGGGAGGGCGAGAUCCCUCCGAAAUGUGACAAAGGGAACAGCGCCAGGCUUCUGCCCAACAGCACGACCAAGCGCAUCCCUCCCCCAGGUGACACAAGAUGAAUGCUGAAUCCUAGAAAAAUGGUCAGAAGAGGGACCAGAGUUCAGCCUGUCUGAUCUGGGAUGUGAAUGGACCCCUUGCGCCUUCUGACAUACUGGGGCUGUGUUUUGCUUCUCAUGGCGCUGAUGGCACAUCUGAAAGGUAGGAGUCUGGGUUUUGCCUGUGGGUGGAUAUUUGCAGUCACAUCUGGCUUUGCUUUGCCGUAUUGUUAACCCCCCUUUUCCCUGCUACAGUUGUUUUCUUUUUAUUAAAUUUCCCGUCUGGAUCCC